CCUGGCGGCCAUAGCGAGUUGGAACCACCCCUUCCCAUUCCGAACAGGACCGUGAAACGACUCCGCGCCGAUGAUAGUAUGCUCUUCGCAUGCGAAAGUAGGUCACCGCCAGGC
rnacentral:rRNA from 2 species